rnacentral:rRNA from 1 species
GACGAACGCUGGCGGCGUGCUUAACACAUGCAAGUCGAGCGGAAAGGCUCCUUCGGGGGUACUCGAGCGGCGAACGGGUGAGUAACACGUGAGUAAUCUGCCCUGCGCUCUGGGAUAGCCACCGGAAACGGUGAUUAAUACCGGAUAUGACCGCUACACGCAUGUGUUGGUGGUGGAAAGUUUUUCGGCGCAGGAUGUGCUCGCGGCCUAUCAGCUUGUUGGUGAGGUAAUGGCUCACCAAGGCUUUGACGGGUAGCCGGCCUGGGAGGGUGACCGGUCACACUGGGACUGAGACACGGCCCAGACUCCUACGGGAGGCAGCAGUGGGGAAUAUUGGACAAUGGGCGGAAGCCUGAUCCAGCAACGCCGCGUGAGGGAUGACGGCCUUCGGGUUGUAAACCUCUUUCAGUACCGACGAAGCGAAAGUGACGGUAGGUACAGAAGAAGGACCGGCCAACUACGUGCCAGCCGCCGCAGUAAGAC